GACGAACGCUGGCGGCGUGCCUAAUACAUGCAAGUAGAACGCACAGUUUAUACCGUAGCUUGCUACACCAUAGACUGUGAGUUGCGAACGGGUGAGUAACGCGUAGGUAACCUGCCUGGUAGCGGGGGAUAACUAUUGGAAACGAUAGCUAAUACCGCAUAAUAUUAAUUAUUGCAUGAUAAUUAAUUGAAAGGUGCAAUUGCACCACUACCAGAUGGACCUGCGUUGUAUUAGCUAGUAGGUGAGGUAACGGCUCACCUAGGCGACGAUACAUAGCCGACCUGAGAGGGGGAUCGGCCACACUGGGACUGGGACACGGCCCAGACUCCUACGGGAGGCAGCAGUAGGGAAUCUUCGGCAAUGGACGAAAGUCUGACCGAGCAACGCCGCGUGAGUGAAGAAGGUUUUCGGAUCGUAAAGCUCUGUUGUAAGAGAAGAACGGGUGUGAGAGUGGAAAGUUCACACUGUGACGGUAUCUUACCAGAAAGGGACGGCUAACUACGUG
rnacentral:rRNA from 1 species